rnacentral:rRNA from 1 species
AUAAGCGGAGGAAAAGAAACUAACGAGGAUUCCCCUAGUAACGGCGAGUGAAGCGGGAAGAGCUCAAAUUUGAAAUCUGGCGGUCUGUGGCCGUCCGAGUUGUAGUCUGGAGAAGCGUUUUCCGUGCCGGACCGUGUACAAGUCCCUUGGAACAGGGCGUCGCAGAGGGUGAGAAUCCCGUCUUUGACACGGACUGCCGGUGCUUUGUGAUGCGCUCUCGAAGAGUCGAGUUGUUUGGGAAUGCAGCUCAAAGCGGGUGGUAAAUUCCAUCUAAAGCUAAAUAUUGGCAAAAGACCGAUAGCGAACAAGUACCGUGAGGGAAAGAUGAAAAGCACUUUGGAAAGAGAGUUAAACAGUACGUGAAAUUGUUGAAAGGGAAACGCUUGAAGUCAGUCGCGUCUCCCGGGACUCAGCCUUGCUUUUUGCUCGGCGCAUUUCCCGGGGUUGACGGGCCAGCAUCGAUUUUGACCGUCGGAGAAAGGCUUUGGGAACGUGGCACCUCAGGGUGUGUUUAUAGCCCUCGGUCGUAUGCGACGGUCGGGAUCGAGGAUCGCAGCGUGCCUUUUUGGCCGGGGUUCGCCCACGUAACGCGCUUAGGAUGCUGGCGUAAUGGCUUUAAGCGACCCGUCUUGAAACACGGACCAAGGAGUCUAACAUGCCUGCGAGUGUUUGGGUGCAAAACCCGGACGCGGAAUGAAAGUGAAAGGUUGGGACCUCUGUCGUGGAGGGCACCGACGCCCGGACCAGACCUUCUGUGACGGUUCCGAGGUAGAGCAUGUAUGUUGGGACCCGAAAGAUGGUGAACUAUGCCUGAGUAGGGUGAAGCCAGAGGAAACUCUGGUGGAGGCUCGUAGCGAUUCUGACGUGCAAAUCGAUCGUCGAACUUGGGUAUAGGGGCGAAAGACUAAUCGAACCAUCUAGUAGCUGG